rnacentral:rRNA from 1 species
UACAGAGGUCUCAAGCGUUGUUUCGGAUUCAUUGGGCGUAAAGGGUGCGUAGGCGGCGCGGUAAGUCGGGUGUGAAAUCUUGGAGCUUAACUCCGAAACUGCAUUCGAUACUGCCGUGCUUGAGGACUGGAGAGGAGACUGGAAUUUACGGUGUAGCGGUGAAAUGCGUAGAUAUCGUAAGGAAGACCAGUGGCGAAGGCGGGUCUCUGGACAGUUCCUGACGCUGAGGCACGAAGGCCAGGGAGCAAACGGG